rnacentral:lncRNA from 1 species
GAGGUGCUUGUGAGGAUUUUUGACUAAGUAAGGCCGAGGGCCUAAGUUGUGAGGAAACACUAAUACUGAUUUGAGGCCGAGGGCCUGAGAUAUAUACACCAUGAGGUGGCUUGAUUUAUAUGAGGCCGAGGUCCUAGUUUAAUGCCACGAGAUGGCCUGUUAUUGUGCUUGGGCCGUAAGGGACCCCUCCAGGAGUCUGUACACCCCCAGUGAGUGCGGGUACCUAUUGUGAUAUGAGAUUGAGUCCGAGGGACUGAAUUUUUCUGAUAUGUUGCCCGAGGGGCGGAUUUGUUGAUACUGUGCCCGGGGGGCUAACUUCCAUUUGUUUACUUUAAUUUAACUGCGUG